CUCCGAUAAGGGCAAACCGCCGGCGACGGCGGGGCGCAAAGCCACGGGGUCUCGGUCUCGCCUGAGACAGCCCAGCCACCAGA
rnacentral:ncRNA from 1 species